ACGAUGCUGUACCGCAGCAAUUCACCGCUGUAAUCCCCCACAGGCGGAGGCUGGGAACGAGAUCGUUUAAAUACCUAUUUAUUUUGAGAGUCAGUGUAAAGACGGUAAAAGUCAGCGAGGCACAAUGGUGGGUCGACCGGCAGAGACACACACAAGACCCAGAAGUUUGGACCCAAGGAAUGAAAACAUCCAAACCUCCAACAGCCUUCAGGCCUCAGAGUAACUUCCCUGCAGGGGCAGAAAGCAGCUGUGAGCCCAACGGUUGGUGGCAUUUCCAGUUAAGAGAGAGAAAGAAGCCACAUCUGACUGGACUUGAAACAGAAAGUCAGGUUGGUUCAGGGAAAGUAAAGAGGAUGUGAACCAACUGAGAAGCUCUCUUCUCCUCUCUCGGGAUCAAGAUGUUUACCUUCCUACUAAUUUAAAUGUUCAUUGUCACUUCUGCUCAGAAUUUCUUUUGGAACAACUUGAUU